GCACUAGAAACUAUGAAAAGCCUCUUUGCGGAGACAAAUGAGAACACCAUUUUCUAGAAUAGAGAUACAUGAUGUUGGGCAAUUUGGGGGGGGAAAAACUUCUCUACCACUCUUAUAAAAAUUCUGUUCUGAAAUGGAGAAAAAAAUUAAAAGUCAAGCAAAAAUAGAGAAAGACAGAAUGGAAACUGAAGAUCACCUUAGAAAAGAAGCAGAACCAGGAAGAGCAAAAUACAACUACCUUAAAGGGGCAACAAAGUGCAUCACUAUAAAUACUGACUUCCUGACGCUCAUCUAGGGUAGAUAAUGUGACAUGUGACACACUUCUGGCCAAGGGCAAGCAGACGUCUGCCGUGCAUGUGCUCUCCUAGGACAGCUAUGGACAUUUUGAAAUUCUUCCAGAUAUCCUUGUGGCCCUCUGCAUUUGUUUCAGGGCGUCGAAUAGUGACAGGUAGGUGUUUGCUGUUAGAGAUCUUUUGCUCCUAAAUGUAAAGCUUAAGAAUUUAGCAGCACCACAGCUAAAGUGCCCUUUAAUGGAAAGGCUAGAAAUAGAAAUAAAAUAUAUCUUUUAGGUUUCUAAAAGGAAAACUGUAAAAGGCAUACAGUAUUUGCAUUUGCCAAGGGAGCUGGCCACUUUCGUGAGUUAUAGUUAAUAGGAUCCAUCAAUGUCAGCAAAUAUGUCCAAGCCAUUUGCAAUUUGGAACCAUCACCCUUCAAUUAACGACUCAUUCACCACACACUCGUUUUGAUCAUGAGAAAUUUGCUCUAUUUAUAUAAACUACAGCUUUUAAAAAAAUGUCAGUUUCACAGACCUUUAAGUGGGCAGCUAAUAAUUAAGAACUGAUUUUUUAAAAUGGUAAUAAUUAUGACAAUGGCAAAGUGGUUAGCAUUUUGUAACUUAAAGUGCUUUCUUAUAUUAUUUCUUUCAUUCUUCAGAAUAUUAUUAUUUCAAAUUUACAUAUGAGGAAACUGAUAAGGAUCUCACCUAGGGUCAAAUAACCAGUAAGUAGAGUAGCAGGGACGUGAAGAGAAGCCCUCUAUUUCAGGUCCCAUACUGUUUCCAGGAUUCUGCUCUAGAUCUCAGUUAUAUAUCAUCUGUAAUAUCCAGUUGUGCUUAGGAGCAUCAUGAACUAUUGUUAAAUAAAGUUGAAUCGGAUAUUAAUGUGGAAUUUUGAUAACCCUUCAUAAUUAUAGUAAUUAAUAUAAAGCUUAUUAAUUUUUAAUUUUUAAAUUUGGGUCAAAUCCUUUUUAUAGAACACAUUUGUCAUUCUGCUAUCCUGGGCAAUAUGAAAGAUCUCUGCUGCUAUUUACCUUGGUUUACACAAUUUAGAAUUGCCCCUUCUAGAAGCAGUUUAUCACAGAUUAAUUCCUGAAAUUUAAAGCAUGUUUCUCUUGCAUCUUAUUCACGGCCACAAAAAAGUAAAAAGAUUACUUGAGAGAAUCACUGACGUUCAAAAGAUAAAAUAUUGAUUUCUUGUUUUAAUACAGCAUAUUGAAAAAACACCUGUGUUAUUUUUAAACUGCCAGGGAUCUGAAUAUUGCUUCAUUAAGGUAUAGGUAGCUCAGGGGCUCAGUAACUAACCUUAAUAUAAAUUCCUUAUUGGAAUAAUAUAAAUCUUUGGGUUUACUUUUCUUUUACAGGGUUCAAAAUGGUGACAAAUUUCAGACACCAAACUAAUGUUACAUUCCUUGGUGUAAUAUGGUGUUCCUUAGUCCAGACUGCACUGCAGAAUCAUCUAGGAUAAUUAUGAUCACCCUAACCCAAAAGAGUCUGAAUCACCAGAGACGGGGCUGGACAUUGAACAUUUUAAAAACUUUCCACUUAGUUCUGGGGCGCCUGGGUGGCUCAGUCAGUUAAGCGUCCAACUCUUGAUCUCUACUCAGGUCUCAAUCUCAGGGUCGUGAGUUCAAGCCCCACGUUGGACUCCAUGCUGGGUGUGGAGCCUACUUAAAAAAACAAACAAAAAAACUUUGCACUUAGUUCUAAUCUGCAGUCAAGGGUUAAAAAACAUUAAUAUACUUGAGAUUCAUAUUGGAAAGGAAUGAUUGUUUUCUCUACCACAAAAAUCUCUCUGUACACAGCCUUUCUUCUUAGUUGGUAGCCAACCUUCCUUUGCGUUGUACUUUGUUUUCAAAUGCCCUUGGCAGUCCACGGCUCUUCUGACUAGAAGCCUCAGUCACUCCCCAGAAACGCCUCCCAAAUGAAAUUAAAAUGAAACAGACUUUAUUUUGAAAUAAUUAUAGACUCACAGGAAAUUACAAAGGAAAUAGACAGAGGACCUGUAUAGCUUUCACUCAGUUUCCCCCACAAUUGGUCCAUCUUACAUAAUUAUAAAACAGUAUCAAUGACAGGACUUGAAUACUGACACGAUGUAUGCAUGUAAUUCUGUAUUUUCUCAUGUGUAGGCUCCUGUAGCCGUCAGCGCAAUCAAAAGAGAGAACUAUCCCAUCACCACAAAGAUCUCCCUCCUGCAACCCCUUUAGAGCCACACCCAGUUCUCUCCCCCACACCACCCCUAACCUCUGGCAACCAUUAAUCUGUUUCCCAUCUCUAUAAUUUUGUCAUUUCAGGAAUAUUAUAUAAAUGGACUCACAGUGUCUAUGUCCUUUUUGAAAAAAAUUUUUUUUCACCUAGCAUAAUGUCCUUGAGAUCUCUCCAAGUUGUGUAUAUCCAUAGUUCAUUUCUUUUUAUUAUUAAACUGUAGUACAUUUUGGUUGUUUCCAGUUUGGGGCUCUUACAGUAAAGCUGCCACAAUAAUGUUUCAUUUCUCUGAGAUAAAUGCCCAGGAGUGCAAUUGCUGGAUUAUGUGGUAAGUAUAUGUUUAAUUGUUCUAAGGAACUUCAAACUGUUUUCCAGAGUGGCUGUACCAUCUAUAUUCCUACCAGCAAUGUAUAACUGACCAAGUAUCUUUGUAUUCUUGCUAGCAUUGAGUAUUAGCACUAUUUUUAUAUUUUAUCAUGCUAAGAGGUUUACGGUGAUACCUCAUCACGGCUUUAAUUCGCGUUUCCCUAAUAGCUGGUGAUGCUGAACAUUUUUUCACAUUUACUUGCCAUCCAUAUAUUCUCCUCAGUGAAAUGUCUCUAUGUUUUUUGCCCAUUUUCUAUUGGAUUAUUUGUUUUUACUGCUCAGUUUUACAAGUUCUAGAUGAGUGCUUUGUCAGAUUUGUUUGCAAAUAUUUUCUCUUACUCUUGUAGCUUGUCUUUUCAUCCUCUUAACAGAAUCUUUCCCCCCCAAAAAUUUAAUUUUGAUGAGAUCAAUUUAUUGUUUUUUCACUUCUAUGGAUUAUAUUUUUGGUGUCAUGUCUAUGAACUCUUCACUAAGCCUCGGGUCCCCCCAAUUUUCUAAAAGUCUUAUAUGUUUUCUAUUUUACAUUUAAAUCUGAUUUGGGUUAAUUUUUGUGAAAGUUUGAGGUUUAGAUAGAAGUUUAUAUUGUUUUGCCUGUGGAUACUCAGCUGUUCUAGCACCAUUUGUUGAAAUGCCUAUUCUUUUUCCAUUGAACUGCUUCUGCACUUUGGUCAAAAAUCACUUCCCCACCAGGCCUCUGUUGAUACCACACUGGUUGCGACAGGGAGGGACAUCUCACUGCCUUCCACAUUGCCUCCACUGGCACUGUUGGGGCCAUCUUGUCAGCACUGAGCAGUGGUGAAAGUCCUGACUCUCUACUAGGCCCUCUCUGACACCGCCACAGUGGGGAGAAAGAGGGGUGCCUAUUCCCUCUGGGUGGGGGUGGGAGUCCAAGCCUCCCCUCACCUCCCCCCACCCCGUCUCACAUCACACUGAUGCCAUGGAAGGGGAUCCUCUUUACCACCUGCGGGAGAUGAAAGUCUCAGCUUCCCACUCUGCCUUCUCGGACACCACCCUGGUGGUGGGGAGAGAGUUGUAGUGUUCCCUACAGGUGGGCAAGGGUGAAAGUCUUGGCUCUGGGGGGAGUGGGGCGGCAGUGUUUUCUGCGCAUUUGGCUGGAGUAGAAUGGCUAUUGUCUAAAUGUCGUCUGCCGUGCUAGGCUGUCCCUUUCCUGGUCCAUUGGCAAGGGAGAGCAGACUGUUCUGGGGGCUUUAUUUUUUGGCUCUGUGUCAUUAGUGUUUUGGGAUUCUUCAGUACCCAGUCUGGGAUGUGUGAGGGGAGAAGAAAGUCCAGGGAAUUCACCGUAUACUUCCUUGAGUUCUAAGUUCCCUAGUUUGCCUGCCUUCUUCUUCCUACUUUUCAAAAUCUUCUUGUUUGUUUUAUAUAUAACGUCCAGGAAUUUUAGUUGUGCCUAGUGGGAGGAAUAGGGAAAAGCACCCCGAUUCAUCCUCCAAGAAGCAGAAGUCCGCAUGAAUUUUGGAUAGGACACCUGGCUUAUCAUUUACCAGAGACUAACCUACACAUUUGUGAAAAAUCUAUCACAGUUUUUGAAGACUAUGGUCACGUAGAGAAAAUGGAUUUUACUUACAUAUGUAAUCAUGAUAAUAGUUAAUAGUUCUUUGGCACUUAACUAGUAUAAACAGACAAUAAUACUAGGUCAUACAGAAUAUUAAAAUCCUUUUACUAAUGAAUAAACUUAAAGAGGUUAAAUAAUAUUCCUUUUGUUACCUUGGUCUUCCUAAUUCCAGAACUUGUGCUUUUUAACUAUAAUGCAAUAUUGUUUUAACUACACUUCCAAAGUUUCUUAGAAUAAUGCAGUGGAAAAAAAAAAUUACGGUAGGAGCCAAGGGACUCUAUUUUCACACAAAUUACACAAAAUUCAUUUCCUGAAUCUGGGCAAAAGCUCUCAACUUCCUGACUCUCAAUUUUCUCAACUGUAAGAUGAUCGGUCAGCCUUGAUCUUUAAAAUCUUUUCUUGAGUCCUAACUUUAUGAAUGUCUAAACAUACGAAGAGAAAUUCAACUUGGAAUUUCGAGGGAGGAGGGGCAUUCCGAAGCCUGUGGAGUCCUAUCUGCAACAGUGCAGUCGAUGGUGGCGGCACCAAGUGGGAAUGAAUGAAGUAGAACGACCCAGAACGUUCAUCUUCUAUCUUUGCCACUUAUCACCAGAUGCACGUUUACAAACACCUGUUUCUGAAUACACAGGUUAUGUGAGCCAUGCAAAGAUCUCAUGAGCCUUGAGAGAGUCAGGCUGGAAUGACAGGAUGCGAAAACCAUUGUCACGUGGUGUUAACGUAGGCGGAACAUGGGGAUACAUGUGCUGGGAAUCUGCUCCUCCAAAUAUUGAGCAGGAUUAUUGUAUAUUUGGAUGCCUCACUAAAUGGUGAAUGGCAAUGCUUAAUGCCCAGAUUAAAGCUCACCUAUCAUAUCUUUUCUGACUGUUCCAUGACUUUCUGCCAAUCAUUUUCAUUUUCUCUGCUUUGUAUUUCAGCCUGUUUGUAAUAUUUUAUGUUCCAAACUUGCUCAAAUUUUCUGAAAGGAGGAACAUAUUGCCAUGUGAAAAGAUAAUGGAUCUGUACAUCUGCUGAGUGCUCUUGUUCUCACAGAGAAACUUCAUAUGUACAAGAAAAAAUAAUUCAGCAUAAGUUCUAUUUUUUUUUCUGUAGCUCUCCUCAGCUGUUAUCUUUCUUUAAAACUGUAUUAUAUAAAUGUCUAGCAAUGAACAAAGUGAUUUUUAACAGAUGUUUAAUGUAACUUCAUAAACCUUUGCAAAACAUCUAAAAUUUUCCUGGAUGGGGGGGUGGAAGGUGCUGGAGGGGGUACUAAUGGAAUAGCAUAAAUGGGCUUUUCUAGGAAAAGAGCUACAUGUAUAUUAUCUGUGUAUGUAUAAAAGUUCUCCUAAAAGUUUUUGUUUAUGGAUACCAUGCAUGCCAUCGUUUCAUGAACUGUUUUUCUUAUAAUAUUAAUUGUACUGGAUAGUGGAUUAAAUAAAAUUUUUAUGUUUCUUUGCUGCAAGAAUUCUGCCUUUAUAUACCCCUCUUCAUUAUUAAUCUUCAAGAAGAUUACUUAAUGUGGAGCAUUUCCUCAGAUUGUUCCUCUUCUGAACUUUUAUCCUUCAUAGUAAAUAAACAUUGGUGAACUGAUAUUCUAUGAACUGGAUUUGGGUAAUGGUGCUACAAAUAAAUAAUUCAAUAUCC